AGUUCCAUUAAAAUUUUGUUAGCAGAUCCUAAAUGCUGUAUAUGCAUAAGGCCAUAAGCACUGUCCCUGAGCAAUGUGCUGACAAUUUAGCACAUUGAAUAAGACAAAUUUAACAUAAAAUCUUAGUGAUAAUUUCAAGGAUCAUAAUAUGCUAGUAUGUGUAGAACUCUAUGAAAAAAGUAAAAGAAAAAAUUGAUAUUCACAAAAACAGUAAAACACAAGAACCAUGAAUGUACCAUCAAUUUAGGGGCGCAGCAUUAUCAAAAAUCCACAAGCAUAACAGUAAAUCCCCAUAAUCAGGCAAUAUAUCAAAGUACAUCCCCAAGAAAUUCCAAAAUAAAAAAGCCAUAAUGAAGUUGAUAAAAGCAUUUUACCCCACAGGACCACAAAGGGAAAUCUUGAUGCUCAAAAAUCUUAGCAUUACUCUCCAGUUAAAGAUGCCACACCACUGCAACACAGCACAGCAGGAUGACCUUUUUGCCUUUUCUUCUGAAUCUCUUAAAAUUUUGUAGUCAAUAAAUCUGUGAGCUCGUCACUUGCAGCCAAAGUUAAUGAUUCCCAAGACACGACAAAGUCAAUUCCAAAUGCAGCAAAAUGCAAUGCACUACAAGACUCACUAAUAUUGUAACACAUAACACACCUCAUGAGAUAACAUCUUGUUUGGUCUGCUCAGUCCUCACUUACAAUUAGUAGGGUUUUAAAGCAAAUAAAAGACAUUAUCUAAUAUGAAAUAUUAACCCUCCAAAUAUGAUUAGCCAUAUGAACAUAAGGACGCAUCAAGAACACAAGGAAAAUAAGUAUUGAAAGAUUUUCAGGAAAUUACCCUAGAAGUAACCAAUCUCCACACUCUUUUUAUCCACUCUCGAGAAAGAGGGGGGAAAGACCCAAAAAAAUUGAGGAUACCAAGCAAUAAAGUAAGAUCCUUAUUAUAAGAAAGACAAUGAGACAAUGAUUCUGCUGUGACUUAUUCUAAAACAUCAUCUACGUUGCACAAAUAUUUCAAUGAAGCUAAUUACCACUAUAAUUGAUGGGAAUUUAUUAAUAUGUUAAAUGCUUGCAAAACCAAACUCCAAUUCCUUUAGUAGUAACCAGGAAAAAUAAAAUGACCAAUAUUUCAAAUUUCCAGAUACAAGGUGCCAGUGAAUAGUAAUAGCUAUGCAAAUGGCCAACACAUCAUAAAUAAAGGGUGGACAAGUGGUGACAAAUGUGUGUUUCUGGUAAAGCUCCAUGAAUGUUUACUCAUCAAUCAUCAUCCAAUGUUAGAAGACCAUAAAACCAAUAUUAAUUAAUGCCUAGAGAUAAUUUGGCUCCUUUAU
rnacentral:misc_RNA from 1 species